UACGUAGGCAGCAAGCGUUGUUCGGAAUUACUGGGCGUAAAGAGUGUGUAGGCGGUGUCGUAAGUUUGGCGUGAAAUCUCCCGCUUAACUGGGAGGGUGCGCCGAAGACUGCGGUGCUUGAGGAUCGGAGAGGAAAGUGGAAUUUCUGGUGUAGCGGUGAAAUGCGUAGAUAUCAGAAGGAACACCGGUGGCGAAGGCGGCUACCUGGACAGAGUCUGACGCUGAGGCACGAAAGCUAGGGGAGCAAACAGG
rnacentral:rRNA from 1 species